AGUGGUGACCCCGCAGCCCCCCCGACCUCCAGCCCCGCGACCCCCCCUCACCUGCGCUUCUUCUGCACGUACAUCACCUGCGGGGAAAGGCAUCAGCGGCGCGGGCUCGGGGGGCGUCGGUGCCCCCCCAGACCGCCCCCCGCCCGCCCACUCACCGCGGCCAGGACGGCGCCGAGGAGGGUGAGGAAGAGGAAGGGGCCCAGCACGGAGCCCACCAGCGAGUCGCCCGCCGUGCCCGGGGCCGUGGGGGCCGUCGCGUUGCUCAUGGCCCAGCGCGGGCUCCUGCCCGCAUUGGGGACGCGGGUGCCCGGCCCCAGGGCGGGACCCCUGCAACCCACACCUGCCCCGGGAGUGACCCACUGCAGGGAGUGACCUCGCCCCCACCCCGGGAAUGACCCACCGCCCGGGAAUGACGGACGCACAGGGCCAUCCCUGUGAGCGAGCCCAUCUCAACACCAGGCUGUUGGUGACAUCCCUCCAGUUCCUCUUCCAGGCUGUGACUGUCCCAGGCCACUGCAGGGAGGGCUUUCUCCUCAGGUGACACUAUUGCCUAUCUCCAAGCUCACGUAGCUUCCCCCUUGCACACAACUCAACAGAGGAAACCCUUCCCGACAGGACCCCGACCGCCCGGCAACGGAGCGAGCGCAGAGUGGGCAGAGCCCUCUGGCCUUCCUGGAGACACUGCGGGUGAAAGAUCAGAACCAUGGAGGUAUGUGCUACACCUGCCAGCCAGGAUCAAGCAGGAGAGCACCUGCAUUAUCCAGAGGCUCCAACUGAGAUCUGAGCCCUGAAGGAAACGGGACGUGUUUUCUACUGAACGUGUUUGACUUUGAGGAAAGGUGUCAUAAAAAUGAGUAAGAGAAAGUAUCCACUGAAAUGCUCCGUUUCCAAAGUGCCUCUGCAGUUGUAAAGUGUUUCUGCAAACUAUUUCACCUUAAUUCGUCAUAACCCUCCCACGUGAACUUCACCAGGAGAAAAGAAACACCAAGCGCUGGGGUGAAGAACGGAGACCUGCAGCCAGGAAAAGAAACCCAGACUAUGGGAAUUACAAGUCCAAAACCAAUCUCAAAUUCACAGAGAAUUGAGCAUUUCACUUAUGAUUCACUGAAAACACUUGAAAAUCUCAGGCUUCUUUUAAUUCUAAUAAAUUAGCAAGUUUGUUCUCUA